rnacentral:rRNA from 6 species
CGGAGUGCCUAUACCGAGGGGGUCACACCCGAUCCCAUUCCGAACUCGGUCGUUAAGCCCCUCAGGGCCGAUGGUAGUUAUCCCGCAAGGGAUCGCGAGAGUAGGACGGCGCUCCGG